GUAUUCGUUGCACAAGGUGGAUACUGUGGUUGUGCGUAGGACCUUUUGGAUAUUUACCAGUGUUUCGGACGUAUGCAAGUGAAAAUUAACUUUGGCGUUCUGGUCGGAAAGUGAAAGGUCAGUACGAUGUGGUUUGGUUUCGUGAGUUGAAGGGUAAGUACCCUUUCGGCGGUAUAAAUGAAUGUUUGGGAACUUACCGCGUAAAAGUGCUCUUCGUAAAUCUGUUUUGAAUGCAAUACAGGAACAACGCAGAUUGGGUAAACACUUCAAAAAUCUUAUCCUGCAUUUGAGAUUCACAUGUAGGAUGUCUACAAAAUUGAUUAAGCACUUAUGAUAAGCGAAGAGUACUCGUGGAACAUUUUUAGGUAAGGUCAAUACUCUCAACGCGGCUAUUGAUCACCUUGUGUUUUGAGGUCUCGUUAAUUUAGCUCUCUAGUUUAGUUUAAAAACAUUUUCCUCUUAUUUUUUCGUGUUUAUAUCCAUUUACUUUCGUUGAUAAGUAUUGAUAAAUGACUUUUAUAGGUUUAAUUGAAAAUAUUUUACGGUGGUACUUAUUGUGUAAAGAUAGAUUGAAUAUCGGUCUGUCGUUCUUGAGAUUAGCAAAGUUGAUAAACAUUACUUACUUGAAUUGAAGUGAAAUUUGAUUAAUUGUUAUUUGCUUUGAAAAGUUUAAAUACUGGCUUUGUAAACAGUAGCUGUUCACAAAUGUCUUAUUUUUACAUCAUAGUAAAUUUCGUAACGAACUAUCAAAGCGAUACAUUUCCAGAGACUUUCGGGAGAUUUAUUCACACUACUUUUGCAGCGAUAUCUUGUAAAAGACAAGAGAGUAUUAUGCAAUAUCUACAAGUUAAGCAUGAUUCGGUCAACGUCAUUACAAAAUUAUUUGAUAAACAUUUACUACGUUUAUGUUAUUAAUAGGUGGAAAGAAAAACGUACGUGUGUGUUUUGUUUUCUAUUAGGCGAAGUUUUUUUUCCAUUUAACAUGAUCUUCCUUAUCCAAUAAGACAGUUUUAAACAAAAGUGGAACUAAUUGUUUAGUACAUGGAAAAAAA